rnacentral:rRNA from 1 species
GCGGAACGGGUGAGUAACGCGUGGGAAUUUACCCUAGAGUGGGGGACAGCCCGGGGAAACUCGGAUUAAUACCGCAUAUGCUCUACGGAGUAAAGUGGGCCUCUGAUUCAAGCUCACGCUCUAGGAUGAGCCCGCGUCCGAUUAGCUAGUUGGUGAGGUAAUGGCUUACCAAGGCUCCGAUCGGUAGCUGGUCUGAGAGGACGAUCAGCCACACCGGGACUGAGACACGGCCCGGACUCCUACGGGAGGCAGCAGUGGGGAAUAUUGGACAAUGGGGGAAACCCUGAUCCAGCAAUGCCGCGUGUGUGAAGAAGGCCUGCGGGUUGUAAAGCACUUUCAGCAGGGAAGAAAAGUGACGGGUUAAUAACCCGUUAACUUGACGUUACCUGCAGAAGAAGCGCCGGCUAACUCCGUGCCAGCAGCCGCGGUAAUACGGAGGGCGCAAGCGUUAAUCGGAAUUACUGGGCGUAAAGAGCACGUAGGCGGUCGGGUAAGUCGGAUGUGAAAGCCCAGGGCUUAACCUUGGAACUGCAUUCGAUAC